UCCAGGAAGUGAGGACUCCCUACGGCUGUUACCCGUGUCAGUACCCCACAUCUCAGUUUGGUACGUGUAGUUCCUGGCAGAGUAUCUGCCUGACCUGCUCUCCUGUUGCAGUUAAAACACUUAUGCCUGAUUAUAAGGUUUUGGAAGAAAUAAGACCCUCCUGACACUGUGAUUUCUGACUGUAGCCUCAAGUACUGAGACACAAUGAACUUCUAUUGCUCACGCCAAACGAAUGUUCUGACUGUAUGUCAUCCCAUCGUGAAAUUAGCAUGAGGAAUGCAUAGAUGGAGCUGAGUUCAUCAAUAGAGCUGCCAAGGAAAGAGACUUCUGCUCCCAAGUAGGAUGUUUUUCUGCCUUAACUGAUUUCAGGCUUCACCUCUGGCCUGUCAGCUCAGUGGUCUAGGUAGAAGCAGGUAAGGAGAGUAGGUAGCUUCUAUGUGAUCUUGAUUUAUGUGCCUAGAUGGUAUCUAUGGUCUUUUACAGAUUUAAUGCUCUCAAACUCUAUUGCUAAAAAUAGGAUGUGGGGGGGUGCCUGGGUGGCCUAGUCAGCUGGGCAUC